AUGUGCGUUUCAACGUGGAGAUGCCCUGUGCCACCCCCGCAGGCUUCUCAUGGCUGUAGGGCACAGGGUGCAACCCCCUGCCCAGCCCAGAUCAAUCAGCGGAGGAACCGAAGUAAUUGCAUAAUUAGCAGAAGCUGUGCAAGAGCCAAGGGCUUAAUUAUCCCCUCCUGGGUCUACAGAGGCAUUUGCCAGCUGCUGUGGGAGGAAGAGGGAUGCGAAGGAACAAUGAAGCGUCGCACUGCUGCCAGCAACCUUCUGCUGUCCCUCCUGGUCUUGGAGCUGAUCCCUCUGGGUAAGUGAAGCUUGUGGUUGCUGAAUGCUGUGCUUGGAAUCCAACCCAUGUGCUGGCUGCUGGCUGUUUGCCAAGUAGCUGUCUGUUCUGCCGCCAUGUGGGUCUGUAGGCGUGGUGGAAUCCCCCAAAAAACUUAGCGUGUUCCCUUCCCCUCCCCAGCCCCACUUGCAAUGUGACAAAUUAUUCUCUAGAAGACCUCACCUUGCCUGGUCUUACAUCGAUGUCCCCUUCUGAAGAGGGCAGGUGGGAUGAGAGGAGGAGGAGUGUGAUGUGCGAGUGACCCCAACAGUGAUACCUGCUCCUGGUGCAUCGGAGUGGGAAGACCAUGGCAAUUUCCAGCUGUGUGUCCAAGAGGUCACAGCUGGUGACAGAUCAUCUUAUGCAGGGAUGCAUAAGGAAGCAGACAAAAGGCAAGGACGUGAACCUGAAGCCUGCAAGCUGCUUAACAGCAGAGGUAUUUCUACAACACGUGGCAGGACUCUCCCUGUGCUUUCAGCAGCAAAAUUAUUGCCUGAGUAGUGCUGUAAUGUAUGCUGUGUGGGAAAUAACUCCUCCAUGAACUGCACAACCUCUCCUGUAUUUCCAUCUGGAGAAAGUGCCAGCUUGCAGGAGGGGGAAGAGCUCAGGGCGUGUGGACAUGGGGUGUGAUGGAUGCUCCUGGUCUCCCUGGCAGCUCUGGCAGGGUGUGCGAGUACAAAACACAGAGCAAAGCUCCGUGAAAAUCGGGAUUGUUGCAGGAACGUGCUAACCCCCAGCUGCCUUUGAGGGGGCUGCAGGGGUGUUUGCUCAUGUGGCGCUC
rnacentral:lncRNA from 1 species